rnacentral:lncRNA from 1 species
CUCAUAGUAGUGAUACUACUAUGAUCUUUGGUAGGGUUUCUUACACCUCUUUAAAAAUAGUUCCCUUGUCAAUUCUUCUAACUAGAAUUUCCUGAUAGAAGCCAAAUGAUACAGGUAUCUAAAGUGGGUACUAGUACCAUUCCCAUUUUAUGGAUGAGGAAACUGAGGUAAAAGAGAGAUGAGGUGACCUGCUCAAGGCCAUCCAGCUGCACAAGAAUAAAAACUCAACCAGAGAGUGUGGCGGGAGGUUCAAAGGCCUUGAAUGCCAUGUUAAAUAGAGACUGAUCCUGUCUCCUACAGAGGGUGCCAGAAGCUCAUCCUUUCUUUAUUCAUUAAAUCCCUAUUGAGCGGUAACACCUCUGCCUCUUGAGAAAUCAAUUCCUUGCAGGAAAGAGGAGAGAAUUCCUCACGCUCGGGGGCCUUCACAGAGCUAUGGUGGGGCUCAGAGAGAUUUUAGCCGUAGGAAGAGCUAUUCUGGAAAUUGGGUAGAGCAUGUGACUGAGGUCCAGCCAAUCAGCGCAUCACAUUCCGCUGGUCACAGUGACUGGCUCAGGAGUGAUCCAACCAAAGCCAAGGAGAUUAUUUCCCUGGAAUACUUGUAGGAGAGGCACGCUUUCUUCUCUGCCAGGCUUCCAUCUGCGAGAAGAUAAAGCCUAGAUAUGCCAGUGAGACGGUGUGGAUAAAGGACCCCUGGUCAAGGAACCAGAACCAAGAAAUGGAGAGAAAAGGAGUUCUGCGAUGACAUUCCAGAUUCUGCAUGCAGCCAUGUCUGAAAUCAAUGUAAAUCUUUGGAGGAUUCUCUUACAUGAGACAACAAAGUCCCCUUUCCCCUCUGAUAGGGUUCCAAAUUCCAGAGCUACAAUCUCAUCAGUUGCAAUGGAAACAGUCUGGAUGCCGUGGGAGACCUUGGAGUGGGGCCUCUGUAGCAGUCAGGAGAACCUCUGUUCAUCCAGCAAGACCCAAUGAAAAUGUUACCAUCUUUGUUCAACCUUCCAAUCACUCCUCUGUCCAUACUCUCUGCCUAAUAUGGGACUUGAACUCACAAGCAUGCAUGUUCCGUGGACUGAAACAGUCUAGUGGCCUGAAGCUGACCUAUUUCCAGAUGUCCAGUUAUGGGAAUUAUGUGAGUCAAAGGCAUACCUCUAACUGAGUCUGACUUGAAUUCCUGUUAUUUCAUCCAUUUACACAGGAAGCCAAGACUUUGAUAGUCACGCGCUUAACAUUCUUCAGUGAGUGCUAAGAGCUGGGAUUCCACUCCAAAUCCGUCUUAUCCUACAGCCUUUGGUCAUCCCACUAAGCUGAGCCAAGAAAGGUCAUGUUGCUUGAUCUUGGUUCUGAUUCAUCCAUUUACCUUUGGAUAUGGAUUCUCUAAUACAUGCCGUUUCUUCUGCCUAGAAACGGAUUCUCUAAUACAUGCUGUUUUCUACUGCCUAGAAUAGUCUAUGCCUCCUCUCUCUGCUUAGCAAACUACAAGGCCUCAGCUUAAAUAAAUGUCAUUUCCUGACCUCCUCCCCAUUCCUACCCUGGUGAUUAACCUAGAUCCCUUGGCCAUUAAUUCUCAUGGUGGUUUGUAUUUUUCUUUCACACCCUUAUCACAAUUAUAACUGAUGACUUAUCAUGUAAUACUUUUAUAAUAACGUGUGUAUUUCAUAAGAGCACAUGUGUAUGUUUUCUCGGCACUGAAUCCUCAGAACCACCGAUGUCCCUUAGUGGGUUGCCAUAAAUAGUUGAUGAAGGAAUAAAUGAAAGCUGUUGCUCUGGGGAGGGGGGGGUGUCAGGAGUUCCCCCAGCAGCUCUCCAAGGGCGGUCCCAGGACCCGCCAGUAUUAGCAUCAUCUGGUAACUUAGAAAUGUAAAUUAGGCGCCACCCAGGGGCGCCUGGGUGGCUCAGUGGGUUAAAGCCUCUGCCUUCGGCCCAGGUCAUGAUCCCGGGGUCCUGGGAUCCAGCCCCGCAUCGGGCUCUCUGCUUGGCAGGGAGCCUGCUUCUCCGUCUCUCUCUGCCUGCCUCUCUCCCUACUUGUGAUCUCUCUGUCAAAUAAAUAAAUAAAAUCUUUAAAAAAAAUUUAGGCCCCACCCAGACCUACUGAGUGAGAAUCUUUGAAACGCAGGGGUGGGAUGGGUGACCACUGGUUUGAAAAGCACCGGGUUGGGGCGCCUGGGUGGCUCCGUGGGUUAAAGCCUCUGCCUUCGGCCCAGGUCAUGAUCUCAGGGUCCUGGGAUCGAGUCCCACAUCGGGCUCUCUGCUCAGCAGGGAACCUGCUUCCUCCUCUCUCUCUCUGCCUGCCUCUGUGCCUACUUG